rnacentral:rRNA from 1 species
UACGUAGGGUGCAAGCGUUAAUCGGAAUUACUGGGCGUAAAGCGUGCGCAGGCGGUUAUGUAAGACAGUUGUGAAAUCCCGGGCUCAACCUGGGAAUUGACAUCUGUGACUGCAUAGACGUAGAGUACGGUAGAGGGGGAUGGAAUUCCGCGUGUAGCAGUGAAAUGCGUAGAUAUGCGGAGGAACACGAGUGGCGAAGGCAAUCCCUGGACCUGUACUGACGCUCAUGC